AAAUGUAAUAUGAAUAUGAAUAUUUACAUUCGCUCUAGGGGAAACCGUGCGGAAAUUCAAGAGGAAGAGAUUGCAUCUUCGCAAGAAGCCUCUCACCAGCCGGCAAUAGGGGAAAGCUCCCUCUCGCCAUCGAUCCUCAAGUGUUUCGCCGCCUUUUCGAGAUUCCACGGAUAUUUUGCGUAUCCCAUUACUGUCAGCGAAACUGUUACUGUUGCGGCCUAGUUAGAAAGUCGAUAUUUUGGAGCGAGUUCGGAUGCCCGUGGAACGCUGAUCCGUUUGGCUCGUGAUGGCUUCGAUAAUAACUCCAAAUGAACUAAUAAAUACACAAAGGAAGUUCCAAUAACACAAAUUACGGUAAAUAACCAAAAUGUUUCACCAGUACCAAUUGCCAUGGAAACAUUAAUAAAAAAUUUAGUUACAAUGAAAACUAAUACCGAAUUUAAAA